GACCGAUAGUGAACCAGUACGUGAGGGAAAGGUGAAAAUACUUCGAAUAGAAGGUGAAAUAGAUCCUGAAACCAUACGCUUACAAGCUGUCGGAGCCCUUUUAAUUUUAUUAUUAAGAGUAGGGUGACGACGUGCCUUUUGCAUAAUGAACCUACGAGUUAAUUUUUCCGGCAAGGUUAAGUAGUUCAGCUAUGGAGCCGUAGCGAAAGCGAGUCUGAAUAGGGCAUUUAGUCGGAAGAAUUAGACGCGAAACCGAGUGAUCUACCCAUGAGCAGGUUGAAGCUGUGGUAACACAUAGUGGAGGACCGAACCGGUUGACGUUGAAAAGUCUUCGGAUGACUUGUGGGUAGGGGUGAAAGGCUAAUCAAACUCGGAGAUAGCUCGUACUCCCCGAAAUGCAUUUAGGUGCAGCAUCGGUUAAAUAUGACAGAGGUAGAGCUACUGAUUGGAUGAAGGGGUUUCAUCACCUACUAAUUCCUGAUAAACUCCGAAUGCUGUUAUUAUGUUUCACGGUAGUGAGGGCAUGGGUGCUAAGAUCCAUGUCCAAGAGGGAAACAACCCAGAUCAUCAGUUAAGGCCCCUAAGUAUAUAUUAAGUUGUAUAAACAAAGUUUAAUUACACGACAGCUAGGAUGUUGGCUUGGAAGCAG
rnacentral:rRNA from 1 species